AUAAUGACUCUCGGCAACGGAUAUCUAGGCUCUUGCAUCGAUGAAGAACGUAGCGAAAUGCGAUACUUGGUGUGAAUUGCAGAAUCCCGUGAACCAUCGAGUCUUUGAACGCAAGUUGCGCCCAAAGCCAUUAGGUUGAGGGCACGUCUGCCUGGGCGUCACAU
rnacentral:rRNA from 10 species